rnacentral:rRNA from 1 species
GAUGAACGCUGGCGGCGUGCUUAACACAUGCAAGUCGAACGAAGCUGUUAAAAGGAAGUUUUCGGAUGGAAUUUUAACAGACUUAGUGGCGGACGGGUGAGUAACGCGUGGAUAACCUGCCUUAUACAGGGGGAUAACGGAGAGAAAUUUCCGCUAAGACCGCAUAAGACCACAGCACCGCAUGGUGCAGGGGUAAAAUAUUAAUAGGUAUAAGAUGGAUCCGCGUCCGAUUAGCUGGUUGGUGAGGUAGAGGCUCACCAAGGCGACGAUCGGUAGCCGGCCUGAGAGGGUGAACGGCCACAUUGGGACUGAGACACGGCCCAAACUCCUACGGGAGGCAGCAGUGGGGAAUAUUGGACAAUGGGGGAAACCCUGAUCCAGCGACGCCGCGUGAGUGAAGAAGUAUUUCGGUAUGUAAAGCUCUAUCAGCAGGGAAGAAAAUGACGUACCUGACUAG